CUAAAAUCGCUUAGUACCGCCAAUAUUUAGCCAAAUUUUUUCCAACCCGCCAACACUUAGCCGAAUUUUUUUGUUUGUGACAUAUUUAUUUUAAAAUAAAACAAUAUGUAUAAGAAAACCAACAACAUAAAAAAAAAAAAACAAAACACUUCAAGUCUCUCGCCAUCCUUCUCUUAACACUUUCUCUUAUCUUUCCCAAAAACCCUAGCUGCGUUUUUGCCUUACUUCACCACCAUUUCAAUGGUGACAUCAUCAGCUCUCUCUUCACUCUCUUUUCUAUUGGAUCUGGCGUUGUCCAGAAGGUGAAAUCGAGAAGUAGUAAAGUCGUGUUGGAGCCAGAUCUCCGGUUUACUUAGCCGCCGUUCUGGAAUACCUCGCCGCCGAGCUUGUAGUGAGAAACGACGAGGAGCUGAGUAACUUGUUUGGUGAUGUGAUGACUGCAAAGGUCUGGUUUUAGCCUAAUUUUGUUCAAAGGAAGUUCAAAGUUCACAGACAUGUGUACAUUCUAGCUUACGGAGAAGUGAGGAUUAAGGUUCACGUACGGAGGUUGAACUCACUCGUCCGCUGUAAAUAUUCUGUUCUGAUUUCGUUUUGCUUUUCUGAAAAUUUCAGACGGAGACGGUCGUGUUUCCGGUAACGAUGCUACAAAGUUCUUCGCCAUGUCAAAGCUUUCUCGCCAGGAACUCAAACAGGUUUGGCUUGUUGGGGAAUCAAAGCUACAUGGAUUUCUUGGCUUGGCGGAGUUCAUCAUUGCGAUGAAGCUCGUCUCAUUGGCACAAGAGGAACUUGAAAUUACUUUAGAUCUUCUGAAAGGUUCUGUUGACAUGAAGAGUGUUGAACUUCCAGUGUUGGAAGGACUGGAAAACGUGGUAUCUAACUAAGGUAUUGUGGAUUGCAAGGACCAGUUCCUGAUUUGACUAGGAUACAAGCACAAGAGGCCUCACUUGGGAAACGAAUGGAAGAAGCCUUUUUUGCUGGUUCAUUUCAGCCAAAACCAUAAUUUCUUAAUUGUGUAAGAUUUACUUCUUGUAGUUUUCUAACUUCUCUUGACCAGUGUUCUUUGUUUUCGUUAUCUUUUGUACUUGGGGUUGUAAUGAAUAUGACGUUAUGUAAUAUGAGUUUUGUUAAUGUAAUAUUAAUUGUAUGUA